AUUGAACGCUGGCGGCAUGCUUUACACAUGCAAGUCGAACGGUAACAGGCCUUCGGGUGCUGACGAGUGGCGAACGGGUGAGUAAUGCAUCGGAACGUGCCCAAUCGUGGGGGAUAGCGUAGCGAAAGUUACGCUAAUACCGCAUAAGCCCUGAGGGGGAAAGCAGGGGAUCGCAAGACCUUGCGCGAAUGGAGCGGCCGAUGUCAGAUUAGCUAGUUGGUGGGGUAAAGGCCUACCAAGGCGACGAUCUGUAGCUGGUCUGAGAGGACGACCAGCCACACUGGGACUGAGACACGGCCCAGACUCCUACGGGAGGCAGCAGUGGGGAAUUUUGGACAAUGGGCGCAAGCCUGAUCCAGCCAUUCCGCGUGCAGGAUGAAGGCCUCGGUUGUAACUGCUUCGUACGGAACGAAACGGUUACGUCUCUAUACAGGGGCGUAA
rnacentral:rRNA from 1 species